UCCGGCUUAUCGCUGGCGGUCUCCUGAGAGUGCCCCCUCGCGGGGUUGCAACACAGGACAAGGGUUGCGCUCGUUGCGGGACUUAACCCAACAUCUCACGACACGAGCUGACGACAGCCAUGCAGCACCUCGACUCACGUCCCUUGCGGGAAGACCAGUGUUUCCACCGGCGUUCGUAAGCCGUUCGAGCCCAGGUAAGGUUCUUCGCGUUGCGUCGAAUUAAACCACAUACUCCACCGCUUGUGCGGGCCCCCGUCAAUUCCUUUGAGUUUCAGUCUUGCGACCGUACUCCCCAGGCGGCGAACUUAACGCGUUAGCUUCGAUACUGCGUGCCAAAUUGCACCCAACAUCCAGUUCGCAUCGUUUAGGGCGUGGACUAC
rnacentral:misc_RNA from 1 species